UACGAAGGGGGCUAGCGUUGUUCGGAAUCACUGGGCGUAAAGCGCACGUAGGCGGAUCUUUAAGUCAGGGGUGAAAUCCCGAGGCUCAACCUCGGAACUGCCUUUGAUACUGGGGAUCUCGAGUCCGGGAGAGGUGAGUGGAACUGCGAGUGUAGAGGUGAAAUUCGUAGAUAUUCGCAAGAACACCAGUGGCGAAGGCGGCCGACUGGUCCGGUUCUGACGCUGAGGCGCGAAAGCGUGGGGAGCAAACAGG
rnacentral:rRNA from 1 species